GAUGAACGCUGGCGGCGUGCCUAAUACAUGCAAGUCGAGCGAACGGACGAGAAGCUUGCUUCUCUGAUGUUAGCGGCGGACGGGUGAGUAACACGUGGAUAACCUACCUAUAAGACUGGGAUAACUUCGGGAAACCGGAGCUAAUACCGGAUAAUAUUUUGAACCGCAUGGUUCAAAAGUGAAAGACGGUCUUGCUGUCACUUAUAGAUGGAUCCGCGCUGCAUUAGCUAGUUGGUAAGGUAACGGCUUACCAAGGCAACGAUGCAUAGCCGACCUGAGAGGGUGAUCGGCCACACUGGAACUGAGACACGGUCCAGACUCCUACGGGAGGCAGCAGUAGGGAAUCUUCCGCAAUGGGCGAAAGCCUGACGGAGCAACGCCGCGUGAGUGAUGAAGGUCUUCGGAUCGUAAAACUCUGUUAUUAGGGAAGAACAUAUGUGUAAGUAACUGUGCACAUCUUGACGGUACCUAAUCAGAAAGCCACGGCUAACUACGUGCCAGCAGCCGCGGUAAUACGUAGGUGGCAAGCGUUAUCCGGAAUUAUUGGGCGUAAAGCGCGCGUAGGCGGUUUUUUAAGUCUGAUGUGAAAGCCCACGGCUCAACCGUGGAGGGUCAUUGGAAACUGGAAAACUUGAGUGCAGAAGAGGAAAGUGGAAUUCCAUGUGUAGCGGUGAAAUGCGCAGAGAUAUGGAGGAACACCAGUGGCGAGGGCGACUUUCUGGUCUGUAACUGACGCUGAUGUGCGAAAGCGUGGGGAUCAAACAGGAUUAGAUACCCUGGUAGUCCACGCCGUAAACGAUGAGUGCUAAGUGUUAGGGGGUUUCCGCCCCUUAGUGCUGCAGCUAACGCAUUAAGCACUCCGCCUGGGGAGUACGACCGCAAGGUUGAAACUCAAAGGAGUUGACGGGGACCCGCACAAGCGGUGGAGCAUGUGGUUUAAUUCGAAGCAACGCGAAGAACCUUACCAAAUCUUGACAUCCUUUGACAACUCUAGAGAUAGAGCCUUCCCCUUCGGGGGACAAAGUGACAGGUGGUGCAUGGUUGUCGUCAGCUCGUGUCGUGAGAUGUUGGGUUAAGUCCCGCAACGAGCGCAACCCUUAAGCUUAGUUGCCAUCAUUAAGUUGGGCACUCUAAGUUGACUGCCGGUGACAAACCGGAGGAAGGUGGGGAUGACGUCAAAUCAUCAUGCCCCUUAUGAUUUGGGCUACACACGUGCUACAAUGGACAAUACAAAGGGCAGCGAAACCGCGAGGUCAAGCAAAUCCCAUAAAGUUGUUCUCAGUUCGGAUUGUAGUCUGCAACUCGACUACAUGAAGCUGGAAUCGCUAGUAAUCGUAGAUCAGCAUACUACGGUGAAUACGUUCCCGGGUCU
rnacentral:rRNA from 1 species